AAGUGACUUCAGUUCCGCACUCUACAAACUCUGCUCUAAGAAAUGCUGACAUAUUGCUCACAAAGGAAAAAGGCAGAAUCAGCCAUGAAAUUAAGAAGGGAAAAUCACCAUAGUGUUUACAACAGGGCAAAACCCAACUUCAGAGAGGGCUCAGGCAAAGGGAAGCAAGAAAGAUCAGCAUUACUUAUUUAUCUACUGUGGUACAUUCCAGUUUACAUAGUUAUCUGUAACUAAAUAACAGGAACCAGUCUCUCUCUGAUGACAGCCAGAGCACGAGUUUAGAGCUCAGAAUGACAGGAGGCACUUCCAUAAUACAUAACAAUACCACUAGUGGGAAUUCAGAUCUUAGGCAGUGUAUAAAGACUGAAGAGACUUGUGUGAUGUUACCCUGCAGAACAUCCAGUUAUUCCUUGGAUUCCUUAUUCAUGAAAAACUUGGUGAUCCUCAAACAACAAGAGCUCUACCUGACUGGAAUUCCUAGUGCUCCCAGCUGAAGCUAAACAGUAGACCCAAAAGCCUGGAAAAAUGACAGCCCCAGUACUGCUCAGGGCUGAUUUACAAGAGGGAACAGCUGCAUUGAUGUACAUGGCCCAUGUGUAAGCCAAGCUGAGAACUGGAAGCUAAUUUAGUACAGAAUUUUAGUCAGUAAAAUCCCAUCAUCAGUUGGCAGCAGGAGGAAAACCGGAAAACAGGCAAGAAUCACAUCAAAUAUUGACUUUGUACAAGAUGAAAUUCAAGCAUAGGCAAGAGUGCAGAGUAAUUCACAUGGGAAUACAGAAGAAAUCAGACCUGAAAUAUGAAGUAUAAUUUGUGGAGACAAAUCAAAAGGAAAACCUAUUUUGUAUUUAACACCACAGCACUUAUGAUCUCUAGAACCUCAGCAAAACAGCAAUGGAGACCUUGUACAUUUGUUUUGGGGAAAGAGAGCAGGAUACUGGGAAAUGCUGUCCCUAACCCAGAGAAGUGACAGUGGCUAACUGAGCUGGAAUAUUCUCCACAAUUAUUCACAUUUUCCAUAAUUAACACUGCAAGAUGAGAGGAGACAUGGGUGGUGCAAUACAUACAAGGUGCCAGUAAAAUGUGAAAAGUAAAAGGAUUUUAUUGACUGGUAUGUUCUUCCUGAAAACUCAUUGAAAUGUACAAACUGGACAUCGAGUAACUGAUUUGUACAUUCUGUAAGUUACACUGAUUCUUGCAGCCACUUGAAAGAGAGAAUAUUAUUUUCACUUACAGGAUGUUCACAUCAUUGCAGACACCAAAAAGGUUGAUACAUUCUAGUCUAAAAGUGAAACCAAAAUAGAACUGGACAUAAUGGUACACCGCUAUAUGCCAAUCCUAUUGACUCAACAUGCGGCAGUUUCACACAUCGAUUUGUUAAGUACCUACUGUACACUUAGUGAAACACCCGACCAAGCAAAUGUCUGAAGUCAUGAUUGCUUAUUAAAUUAAACCCCUUUUCCUAGACUUCCACCUUAGCUGUAGAGAUAAAUGUGUUUAACUGAACUUGAUUCCCUGCAGAACACUCAGACAACUACGCCUGGCCAGUAUCUCUUUGAAAACCGUGGGUUACACUUCACAAGAUUCAUUGCGGGUGUAGAGAUCUACACAAAGAUGUGGUUAUUGUCAACAGGCUUCAGAGCCCUGGCAAAACAGAAUGCCCUGUUCUCUGUCCAUAAGCUAUGACCUGGCAGAGAGUACUAUCCUCAGUUCAUGACUGCCUAUUGGUAAACUUAGAGCUACUUACUGACUCAGGCCUGCUAGAACAGUGAAGGUGUAUUUCAGAGCUGCCUGAGGGCUUCAGAGCUUCAAGUCUCAGAACUUCCACGUUUGCCUUUAGAAUCUGCAGUCACGUAAUGCUAGACAAAGGCCACAACAACUGUAACACUUAACUCUGUUGCUGUUAGUGAACACUGGGCAUUGUCUAUGUAACAGAAGAUACUAAAUACUGUAUGCCAUACUUAACCUGAGGAGCUGUCUCACAGAGGAACUCAUGUAUGUCUUUGUACUUGUUUUCAAUUAACCAACACUUAAUUCCAGUCCUGUAUUUCUUGCUUUCUUGGUACAAUCCUAAGGGCAAAAAGUCAUUAGAUUCUGAAGAAAAGAGGUCUCUUUUAUAAGCUUAAUACAGUACUUUUAUAUUUCAGACUAUGAUAUACAAUGUAUACCAUAAAUUAAUUUAAGACAAAUACUUGUCACUUUAUCUAUGUAGGCACAAGUAAAUCAGUGACUUUACUGAAGCGGAGAUAUCUUCAAUGGUAUCAUGAUUCUGGACUCCAUUUCCUGAAUAAGGGGCACUGAAAAAAAAGGGAGACAGGGUUUAACGUCACUAACAAAGAUCAUGAACAGCUCUGCACACUCGGUUUGAACUGCUAUUGUUACCCUCAAGUUACUCUCCUAGCUAGUGCAUGCCAAGUCAUCAGCAGCCACUGACAUUCCUGUAACUGAUGCAUUUCAGUUCUAGUCCCUUCCACCAUAAUCAAAGUUAGCUUACAUUUUUCUGGUAUAUUUCCUUUGAAAUGCACCCUGUGGUACCCAAAUGUGUGGUGCUGAGCAUACUUUGGUGAGGUUUGUUAUGAAAGCUAUCUUUGAUCUCAAAGAUCUCCUGGCUUUUAGUUCCAAAGUUGAAAUUCCCCUUUCAAAGGAAUGCCUUUAACAAGGCUCCUGUACUGCAUAAAUAUUAUAAAGAAUAAUUCAAUAUAAAUUUCACUAGGGGCUCCCUGCAUUUUGGACACAGACACAAGCACCAGAGAUGCAAAAGUUAGCACUGUGCAAUGCACUAAAGAAGAAAAACGAUGGCAUGCACAAAAGUCUACCUCCAGCAUUCCAGUGAAGUUAAUAGGUUACCUGUGUAGUAGACUAGCUCAUCCCAGCCUGGUUUAUGCCAUGCAGCAUUCCUUAUAUCUUCUCUGGUUUGGAGAUCUUUGUAAGCUGGUGAGGGAAAACAACAAGCACAAAGCUUAGAAGUUACUCUUUUUCUUUCUACACAUGAAUAGCUCCCUUAAAAGUAUUCUAGUGCAUAAGUAGGAGGCUGCAAACACUGGGAAGGAAUAAAGCCAGAAGUUCUUCUCCACAAAAACGAAGAGCUCCCAAAGUCACACAAACAGAAGGAACUGGGGAAAGGAGGGAAUGCCUUAGACACAGGUGUGGUGUAUGUGAUGCUUGAAACUAAACUGUAAAAACCUGACUUCAGCAUGAACGCGGAUGGACAAGAGAUGGCAGGAUAUUGCUUGUCAUGCUUAUGUUAUUGAAAGCAAACAAGUAAGUCCCUAAUAAGAAAGGGCCAUGAGAAACUGUGGAUGGAAAGGCAAUGAAACAUGAAAUGUUCGCUUCUGCUUGCUUGUUUGAAGAAUAAAGUUACCUACACAAAACCAUCAGCACUGUCAAUGCAAAACAAAAAAAUCCCAACAACCUUUAAAGAUACUCCUUUGCCUUUUGUAAAAACCUUGUCUUCUGGGCAAAGGCAACAGUCUGCUGGGGGCUGAUUCAGUGAGAUAAAAGCAGAGAACACAGAUUUACCCCAGAGGUGAUGAACCAUAUACAGCUGUCCAAUUUGUGAGAAAAAGCCUCCAACUGCUUCAUUAUUAUCCUGUCGGAAACGAAUUGCACGAGCCCUAGAGAAGAGCAAAGCAGCCAUUAAAACCAGGAGAUCUGGGUAGGAAAUAGGCGAUAGCCAAAAGGAAAACAGCAUUGAAAGCACUUGAGGUGUUAAACAGCAUCUGCAGUAUCCACAAUUAAAAAUAAGAAAAACCUCUGCAAUACACUGCUCCUCAGCACUAUGUAUUUAAAGUAUACCUGUUACAAUGAGUUAAAAUUGCAGGCCCAUGGUUUUACUAGACUGUGCAUUAGUCAUUCUUCAAGGUUAGAUUCAGUAUAAAGAUAACUGCUGGGCCAGCGGAAAGUGGCACGUCAUUGUUAUAGCAGGUUCUUCUAAAACAAAAUCCUUGAGUUUCAGUCAUAUCACCCUCAUUUACCACAGAUUUUGGGGAAGUGAAAUACAACUCUUUAAUUCACACAGACCUUUGAAUGCAGCUGUCCUAUGCAACACUCCAUGAUUUGUUGUGUAAGUAAGAUCAAUACUUAAGUAUUAAUCUGCUGCAACUUCUGAAACAGAUUGGCUACUACUACAGACAUUAAUUGCAUCAAUUACAAUGACACGUCUGAAAAUCCAAGUCCUCACCUUUGUCAAACUACUUGAAAAUACUUCAAAUGGUGUCACUAUCAACCAUUAGAAUUGCAAGGACAGUGAAUGUAAACUGAACAAAACUUACAUUGGUUUUCAGUAAGACAAAAUCAGAAGCAUAUACUCAACAGAAGGCUGUCUCAAAUGCUUUUAACCUAGAUAUUAAAAUGGAAAUAUGCUGCCCAUCAGCUUUUCAAGAAGCAACUUGACUUUUAAAGAUUAAAAGAGCAAAGAUUUAGCCCAUUCAAACCAAAAGUAUGUCAGGUUCUUGUGGUUUGUGAAAGAUCAACACUGUCUUAAGGAAUUAACUGCAAACCUUCACUAUGCUUUUUGAUGAAAAUAAAUGGUUUCUGCUAUGUUACAGCAAACUAAAAGGGUUAUAUGAAGGAAAGCUAAACUAUAAAGCCCUUAGUGUUGUUUGCACACAGAAUUCCCCUUUCUUUCCUUGAAGGAUAAAUUAAGGGUCAAAGAACUGUCCUACAAGUUGCUUAAGUACAGAAGCAGGCCAUUAACUGGGUGACUGAAAUGCACUGGUACCAUCCUGCCACCUCCACUUCAUGAUUUUUUAACAUAAGGCUCCCAAAUAGGAGAAAACAAGUGCUAAAGUGACACUUACCAGUAAUUUCCCCACUCAAUCAUUGUUCCAGGCUACAAAAACCAAAACAAACUGUUAAACUGUAGUUGAAAGAAAGUUAGAAUACUUGGACAGUUUUCACAACAUUUACAUAUGGAAAACACUAUGUAUUAACAAAAUCACUUCCUUUGAGUGAUAAACAUAGUAUAAUCAUCUGUAAUUAUUCUGUUUACUUACUGUAUUACUUCCUUCUGCCUGAAGUUUCCUUCAAAUAAGAACACAGGGGUUUCAGCCCUGCAGAUAUUAGUAUCUUGUUGGAGCCUGCCUUCAUUUUGGACCCCCCACUUUGAGACCAACUCAGACACCAGCUUUGAUAAGAACCACAUUUCUAAGAUGAGUAAAAUAACCAACUUUAACAAAAUGAACACAUUUUACCUUAUUUUGACGGAGUUUAUUCAUGACCUCAUUGAGAGCUGGAUACCCUCCCUCAUAUCUCCACAGAUGAACUGAAACAGACAAAAGGAAGCUUUUUCCGGGAUGUCACAGACCUGUGCUAAAUGUUACGGAAUGUCACAGUAUAAAAUGCUGUUCAUACUACAGAAUUAUACAAAACCCAGAAAUCAGGUAACAUGUUUCAAAGUAAAUGGCAUUAAAGAAAGCACUACACAUGCUUUCUUUGUGAAUUGGGAGCAUUUUAAGAAUAAUGGAAUCAUCUGCUUUUGGAAAAAGGUUCUCUUGGCAAAUUUUGCCAUCUACUCCAAAGAUAACAGGGCAAUUUCUGAAAGGGCUUUUUGUUGCCAUGCUUUGGGAUAACUUUAUGUGACUGGAGUUUCAAGUAUCCUCAUUUCAGAAGAUAAUUUAAGUUCAGAAAUGUGCUUUAUACCAAUUUCAUCUC